rnacentral:rRNA from 1 species
CAUCCUCCAAGGCUAAAUACUCCUGACUGACCGAUAGUGAACCAGUACCGUGAGGGAAAGGCGAAAAGAACCCCGGCGAGGGGAGUGAAAAAGAACCUGAAACCGUGUACGUACAAGCAGUGGGAGCCCCACCACUAAGCCAGUGGUGAACUCCACAUACGCAUCCUUUGCUGAAGGCAAUGGUUAACGGAGCGAAAGCGACGUUCAACCGCAAAA